rnacentral:lncRNA from 1 species
GGAAAGUGCUGGCAGGUCAUUCAGCAGCUCCCAGAAGGAAUCGGAAUGUUGGAGGGGGAGGGAAGAAGGAAAAAGGAACGUUGGAGAAGCAGUGCUGGGGAGAGAGCAGGAAACUGGGGAGGUGACAAGGUCCCACACCAGACCUGGCUGCUCCUGGCCAUGGACACCACUGCCCUGGGAUACAAAAUAUUCCGUGGCAUGGUGGGGAGCGGGGAAUCGAAAAUGCAGCAGGCCAAGCAACAGCCACUGAAGGAUGUGUGAUCCCAACCCCGGCACCGGUAAAUGUGACCUCAUGAGGAAAAGGAGUCUUCGCAGACGGGAGCAGAUUAAGGAUCUUGCCAUGAAGACAUUACCCUGGAUUAGCCAGGUGAGCCCUAAAUGCCAGCACUAGAGAGGCAAGGGGAGAUUCGGUUCCCACAGAAGAGAAGGAGGGAGCGACCACAGAGACAGAUGGCAGGGGUGACGGAGGCCCAGCUGCCGCCAGAAGCUGGAGGAGGCAAGGAAGGGAUGGUCUCCGGCGCCUCCGGAGGGAGCGGCCCUGCCCAUGCCCGCCUCCCAGGCCUGUACUGACUUCAGGCGCUGCCCUCCCGAACCCUGAGACAAGACAGGUCUGUCCGGUUUGUGGUGGCGAACUCAUACAGAAUAUGAAGACAAUAUCAAAAUAUUCAUACCUUUAUUUUUUGAGAUUUAUUUAUUUAUUUUAGAGAAAGAGAGCGUGUGCCCACAUGGGGAGCAGCGAGGGGCAGAGGGGGCGGGAGACAAAAACCCACGCAGACUCCCUGCUGAGUGCGGAGCCCCAUUUGGCUGGAUCCCAGGACCCUGAGAUCAUGACUUGAGCUGAAAUCAGGAGUUGGAUGCUUAACCAACUGAGCCACUCAGUGCCCCCCAAAUAUUCAUAUCUUUAAAACAAAUAUUCACAUCGGUGGAACAUGCAAUUCUUGAUCUUGGGGUGUGAGUUUGAGCCCCACGGCGGGUGUAGAGAGAACUUAGAAUUUUUUUUUCUUUAAUUAAAAAAAUGUUUUAGGUUGAAAUAAUAAAACAAAAUGGGGGUGGGGGGAGAAGGAGGGAGGGAGAGAGAGUAAAGAAAAAGAACCGAAGCCAAGUAGUUGGUGAGCUAAUGAAAGCAGUAUUAGUCAUCUAUCGCACAAAGGAGUGAAAGGCAAAAAAAAAUUAAUCCUGAAAACCAUUCUUCUUGGGAGAAUAAAUCUAGGGUUAGAACAGGGCAGCUUUAGUAACACAAUACAAGCAAAAGUAAUAAUCUGUAAAUCCAUCUAGAGCAGAUAUGUUAUCUCCUGACAAAUGCAGCAGGAGGCCCUAUAGGACGUUUGCGUUACUUUACUGCUGGCUGAUUUUUGAAAGAGAGAGAGG